ACCUCAGAACGACAUCGUUUGUAAGCAUUUAGCAAUUGGAAAAUGCUCUCGCUCAUGCUCAUUCUCAUUGUUGAACUUGUAGUAACUGCCAAUAUUCUCAUUCAUUCUCACUGUAACUGCCGAUUAACCAACCACCUAAACUGCCAAAAUCCUUCACCUACUCACUCAAAAAAUUACCAUAAAAACUAAACACACUCCACACCACAAAAUUGAGCAAUGGAGAGUAGAAUAGAGAAGCGGAGAAUAGAGAGAGCAGAAAGAAAUGGCGGUGACAUUAUCAGCACUCUACCAGACUUUCUCCUCAUCCUUUUCUCCCAACCCCCAUUCUCACAAGCAUUUUGUCGAGCAGGUGGAAGCCUCUCUGGACUCUCCUCCCAAUUCUCAACUUGGACCAGCGCACACUUCUAAGGAAUGAACAUACUUUCAGCUUUGUGGAUAGAGUGUCAAGAAUCUGGACUCUUUGCAACGCCAUUCCCCUACACACAUUGCGCAUCCGAUGGACCGCUAAUUGUCAGCUCUCUAUGUUGAAACAUGGCUACGAGCCACCAUUCAUCUUGCCGUGUUGCAAGAACUCGAUCUAUUCAUAUAUACAUAUACAUAUUAUCAAGCUUUGGAGUUGCCCCGUACUCUCUUCUUUUCUACUACAUUAGUAGUUCUCAAAUUCAAAGAUCAGAUUUUUCUCAAUCCUCCUCAUGAUUGUAGCUCACCAAAUCUCAGGAUUCUGCAACUCAGCUAUGUUAAGUAUGCGAACCACAACUCUCUCUCUACACUCCUCGAAAUGCUGCCAAGUUCAAUAUCAUUGUACUCAUAGCUCCGCUCAAAAGAUUGCUUUUCAGUUAAAAUGCUGACUGUUCGUCAUACGAACUCCAAAUAAACACCCCAGCUCUCGAGUACUUUAAUUUCUUAGCUGAUUUGGGCGGACACAUUGUGUUGGAAAACCAAAACCUCCGCAACUUGUUUGAAUUAGUGAAUGAGUAUUCAAAAUUAUGCAAACAGGAUAUGGGAUUUCAUGGGACCCCUCUAUAACGUUGCAUCCAUGGAUAUGUGGAUAUCAACCGCACACAUCCUCUCCCAUGCUUCUAAUCAUGAGGAUCUUCCCUUGUUUCAUAAUUUGUCUUUCUUGAAGUUACAUGGUUUGCUUGAGCCUAACUGGCGUGGAUGGCCUGCAGUACGACUCUUACUUUCUCGGGCUCCAAAGCUACAAAUACUUGUCUUUCAAUUGACAGUCAUAAAUCACUUUCAUAGUUUCACACCUUACUGUGGCUUGAAGGAGCCAACAGAUGUUCCUGAAUGUCUGUCAUCACAACUUAAAACUUGUCAUUUUAAGGGAUUUUCAGGGUGUGAGGUUGAGAUGGAACUUCUUAGCCAGAUCUGAAGGAGGCCAAAGUGUUAAAGACAAUGAAAACCACUGUUGAAAGUCAUUUAAAGUCAAAGGAGAAGCUUCGUAUUCGCAAGGAAUUAAGGAAUUUCCAGAGGAGCUUUUUGACUUGUCAAAUUGCAAUUGACGAAGGUCAUUUCGAAUUUAUUAGUCUCUCUCUCUUAAUUGGCAAGAAGCAAUAGUUUUAUGGGAAGCCCUUUGUUCUUUGCAUCUUUCAUUUGAAACUUAAGUGGAUUCAAGAUAAUGAAAUACUCCUUUAAUUGUGAA